rnacentral:tmRNA from 1 species
GGGGGCGAUGUGGAUUCGACGGGGAUGAGAUUCUCCCCGGAAGCGAGCCGAGGUCUCCACCUCCUCGUAAAAAAGGUGGAAAGAGAACAAGCGUCGAACCUGAAAUGGCUCUCGCUGCCUGAUAGAAUUCGGGUAGCCGUCCUUCCUCCAUCUGGCCGGAGUGGGGGAAAGGGCGUCAGAGAUCCGGCCAAAUCCCAUCGGGAUUCCACCCGACCGAUGGGAAUGUUGAAGGGUGGGACCUUGAGAAGAUCCUGCCCGUGGGAGCUUCUCAAGGGGUUCUAAAACACGGGCUACGCUCGUAGAAGCCGGGGAGAAUCCUUCUUCGGACGCGGGUUCGAUUCCCGCCGCCUCCACCA